GUCAAAGGUCACCUCAGAGGUCACAGAUCAUCAAAAAUAUUUCUUACACAGUGUUAUAUCAGCACACGACAAGAUAAUGAAUGAGAAAUACAGGAUAGAAAGUCAAACUGAAUGAUAUCUGUUGUAGAUGAAUAAACUCUUCAACUGUUUUUAAAGCAAUAAUAACAUUUAGUCCAAACUGAAUGUGUGAGUGUUGAGAAGAUGUGAGUUUCUUCUAAUAUCAGUGUGUUGAAGUGUUGUUUCUCUCUCUCUGCUGGAGUUUGUGUUCACUCGAGUGGAAUAGAGGUUUUUGUACGACCGUUUCAUUAGAUUGUAUCACUGUGGUGGACUUUCGGUGGAGGAACUAAACUGGCGCUCGCUGGUCCCACAGUGAAGCCCUCAGUGUCUCUGCUGCCGCCCUCUUCUCUACAGAUCUCUGGAGACUCAGCCGCACUGCUCUGCCUGCUCAGCUCUUACUCUCCACAGGGGGCGCUGGUGAGCUGGACACUGGACGGGUCAGAGGUCACCGAGGGGGUCGUGACCAGCGCGGAGAGCCAGCGGGACGGCCGCUACAGCCGCAGUAGCGUCCUGACCCUCAGCAAAGCACGCUGGGAAGAGGGAGAGGUGUACGUCUGCAGAGUAACACAUGAUGGAGCUCCUCAUGAGGUCUCGUUCCACAAGAGCUCUGAGUGCUGAUGUUUCUCUCCUGAAGAUGAGCCGUAUCUGAGUGUCCUGUGUCAGGCAGGAUUCACAUGAGUCUAGUGCUGCAGCUGUAGUGAUUUACAACUCAAUACUGAAAGAGAGCUGGCGUGUCAAAGCACUGUGUGAUCUUUCAAUCUGCUGUAACAUUCAAUAAAGCUUCUCAACAAGUUCA